UUCAUCGUCAUUGAACGAACGAACGAACGGGAUGACUGAAAAAAUAUCAUCGGCGCGUGUUCUCGCAAAUCGGUGCGCGCAAAUACAAUUGAAAAAUCAAAGAAAGAACAAAUAUAAUUCGCUCUUAGGCUCUAAUCUCGCGCACCUUGAUUAUUCUGCUGACGUCAGUCGCAAACCCUACGUAAUAAUACUAACAUUACAUCGAGUGAAACACAUGUAAAUACACAUAUACACACAUAUAUCGCGGGAAAGCAAUGUAUUCUCGCAGAAAGCACGGAUAAUUGUCCGUUUUACCUUUUGUGUUUACGUCCUUUCGCGAGGGAAACGAAGAGACACACACGAUAUGUGUGUGUGUAUGUGUGUGUGUGUGUAGAAAAUUACAUAAAAAAAAUGUAUAUAUAUACAUACAUAUAUGUCCGAUGUCCUUUCUCGGAUGCGACGUCGAUAUUCAUCUAAAUAACGCGUUUUGCGCGUUACGCAAGAAAAACAACGCGAGAGAUAAGCAUGGAGAAGCGUGGUCCUUUUUGCACAAACGUUAAAUUAUCACGUGUGUAAAUUAUCGCGGAUUCAAUCGAAGGAUAUUCUCCUUCGCGCGCGUGCGUGCGUGUUUAUAUGCGCUUGUCCGACCUGCUGGAGUCAGACACGUUGAUUCCUGGUGAAUGCAGUGACAUUUGUUUAUACCAACGCAAGAAUAUUCGAAAGAUUUAUUUACAGUAAAGCGCAUCGCGCCCAUCGCAUCGUUAAUCAUCCUACGAUCGUUGAAUUACGUGUGUACAUAAAUUGCAUGGAAUUACUUGGAAGUGGCGUGUCACGGUCGAUCAAUCAUGUGCGAGAUCGAGAAAAAACGAGAGGAUAUUAAAUGAAUAUUUAAUGUCCUUUUGUUACUGCCAAGCAAGCACUGUAGAUUUCGAAGAGGCAACACGAGAAACGAACGAUAAAUUCGGUGGAUUUUUGCUGCGAGUUUGGUAUAUUCUAUUUCUCUUUCUUUCACGAUAUUCUCUGUGGCGGCGGAAUCGCUGUCACGGCACUUUUGCAAAUCGCUGUUAUAAAUUUAGAAUACAAGGAAAAGGAAGCAAAGAAAUAAGGAAGAUUCGCAACGUUCAAGGUGCUCUCAACUCAAGUAAGAUUAUGACACUCGCGAAGGAAAAACAGAAAAUCGUAGUGAGUCUUUCUAAGAUGUGAUCUAGCGUGAGCUACUGCGACUGCUACAUCUGGUAGAUUGAUAGAGAUUCCGUUACACGUAAGAAAUUCAUCUAUAUUUAUUUGCACGACAUAUUUGAGUGUGUAGGUGGUAUACGAUGUGUGGUUGCACGAAGAGUAUAAAUGCGGUAGUAAAUAGGAGGCGAUUUACAAACGGAUACGAUGCCGCGUGACGCGCAUCACGGCGCAAUUCUACAUUUCUUUUAUGCACAGGACUUGUGUACAAGGAUACAAAUAUCAGUGUCAUCUCCUGUCAACGAAAUAUACAGAGGAAAUUAAGCGACUAAGAACGACUUAUGUCAAUUAGUCGAUACAGAGAUACUCUCGUGUUCGCAGAGGGUCAGCCAGAAAAAGAAAACAAGAUUAAAACAAUACACUUGAAAGAAAUGCUCCUAAGAUCUCGGGCGGGGGAUGUACUCAUUGAAAGAGUAAACAAUUGCAAUUGUACAUGUAAUUAAUGCAAAGUUAUUGAUUGAUUUGAUAGUACGCGUCGGCGAUGGUCUUCCUAACACCUUUAACAUAGCCCCAGAAAAUCGACCGAGAGGAACAAGACUGCCAGCAACACUAGCGCGUAAUCAAGCUCUUCUCCACACAAUCUCGGCAUUUAAAAAAAGCUUACCCAGUAUUUUUGAUUAAAAUAUAAUAUUAUGCUGAAAAGAAAGAAGUUACGGAUAUUACGUGUCCCCUCCCUCUAACGCGACGGCACGUGUGCUUCGUCUUACCUUUCUUUCGCGAAUCUAAUCUUCCUGUUACUCGCUCUAUAAUUGUCUGUCUUAGCACUAUAAAAGAUUAGAAUUUACGUUAAGACGUACAGUCUAUCGUUAUCCGGAAAUAUUAGUAUUCAAAGAAUUGUUUCGUUGCCGUCUAAAAAUAUCCUUAAUUUUCAUCCGAGAGCUUUCUUUAUUCACUAAAAUAUCAAUAAUCGUCCUAAAGCCCGUCCUUAGGGACACAUUCAUUAAUUAUACAUGUAUAUAAUUCUCAUUUAAAUCUAUAUUUUAUACAAAAUAUAUCUGCAUCGUUGCAACUGUUCGACCGAAAGCAAAUAAGUAACUCGUCAUUAUUAUUAUGCGAUUCAGCAGAGACAAUUUUGCAUUUUAACGCGCGCUGCUUUUUUUGAUAACAUAAACGAUAACGUAAUUAUGUCGCACCUGGCAGUAACAAAAGUGUCCGAAAUAAUGUGUUAGCACCGAUUGUCGUGUGUAAAAUCAAAUCGAUGAAACGAUAAGAAAAAAUCUUAUUUUUUUUUCUUUUUCAGCGUGAAAUUAAAACGUGAACGAGCAGAUAGAAAUAGGAGACUAUCAAGGUUUUUCACAAUAUAUUGUGUAUCUCCCAAUUAUUCUACCUUAUCAAAAAGUAUUUUAUUUCAUGCCUCUGCCUCAUAAUAUGAUAAACAUAUUUGUCAGUGCAAGAGUUUUAUGUACACUAAAUACCUACAUUUCAAAAGCGAGCUUUUUCUGCUUAGUGGUGAAUGUCAAAAGAACUGCAGACGCUCUCUAUCAAUGAUAAAUAUAUAUUGUAAGAAAUU